rnacentral:tRNA from 2 species
GGGGAUGUACGGGGGCUGGUGCCCCCCGCGGUCUUCAAAACCGUUUGUGGGGCGGUGCGAGCCGUCCCAGGUGGGUUCGAUUCCCAUCCAUCCCCGCCA